UACAAAUUUUCAAUAGAAAUUUGAAGUAUCUUAUACAAGUUAUACGUAUCUUAGUUGUUUAGGGGAACAAGGGAAAGAAAUAGAAAGAAGAAACCCAUUCCCCAUUUCCAUCAUAUCAUAUUUAUACAUUCAAUUCAAUUUGAAGCCGCGUCUCGCCGUGUUAUCCUUAGGCCUUCGAUCCCGAAAGUAACGGAAUUAUUUUCCCAAAAUACCCCUCCGAAAUCCAAAUACCCAAUAUGUUGCAGAGACCCAGACGGCGCUGCGAGGGCACUGCCAUGGGAGCCAUCGUUCUCGAUCUCCGACCCGGUCUCGGAAUCGGACCCUUCUCUCUUGGGAUGCCGAUAAGUGAAGCAUUUGCUCAGAUAGA